AGCAGGAACAUCAGUUUAUAUGUUGUCAAGUUGACCCACCUAGCUGACCUUUCACUGAGAAACACAUCUCCAUUCAGAAUAGCCACAUUUCAAGUACUUCAUAGCUACACACGGCUAAGUAGCCACCAACUACACAGCAGAGUGCAAGAAGAUGUCAGGGAACAAGGUAGAAGGAGCCUGGUUCCUGGAUGGCCUUAUGGAGCAAAGCCUCCCAUCAUGCUGGAUCUCCCAUUUACCUCUUGUUUAAAACACUGUGUUUUGGAUUCUGUUAGUAACAUGAGCUUAGCCUGUACUAUGACUAAUAUAACAUGGUAAGAGUCCCCCCACCUCACAACAGAAAUUGAUAUUGACCUAUAUAUAUGUGACAGUCUGUAUAACAAGCAAAUGGACAGUGUGAGAGUGAAAAGCUCCUGAUAUACCAGCCCAUAGUGGUAAACGUAUCAGUGAUUAUAGCUUCUUGAUGCAACUGAAAGAGUCAGCUGUAAUGAAACAGCUUAUCUGUGUAUGGGGGAGUACUCAAGUUUUAAACCUUGAAAAAUUCCAUUUUGAUAUGCUUUUUUGUAUGUUUUUAUUUCUUUCAUUUCCUAAAACUCAGAGCAAUAAACAAUCUCCACAACCAUUAAGCAUUAGCUAUGUUUGCAUUUUCUAAUUUUUAUUAUCAGUUUGAACUAAAUACUUAAGUAAUGGUUAGAAAUAGUUACAUAACAAAAAAGCAGGGAAUGGUGCAAAAAAGGGAAGAGAGGUAGGAGGGGUGGCUUAAUUAUAAUAUCAUCAGCAGCACUUAAGUUUUUAAAAACUCCACCAUCCAGGAAAUAGUUUAUUUAAAAGACCUCAUCUUGUGUAAAUUUCUUAGAGCCUAAAUAUGUCCUUUCCAAACAUAUAAUUUUACAGGCAUGGUCAUAUAACAUCUGUAUGUAAAAACAAAACAACAGUCAAAUCUGUUUUUUCUUUUUUUUUUUUUCUUUCUGGGUUUUUUUUUUCCUAUCCAAUUUGUUUUUGUUUCCCCACAAACAAAAGGAAUUGGCCAAAGGCUGACAAGGUUCUUCAUGUUUCUAAAUUAAUCCUCUAGUUUAUGGGGAAAUGCAACACUGAAGCCAAUAAGAGAAAACAGCAAAUGUGAAUAAGGAUUUAUCACUUUAUAUUACUUUGUAGUAAUAUAAAGUAAUUCUCCUGAGAGAUGUCAGUUACUAUCUUGAUUUGUUGUUCUGUUUUCCUUGAAGGAAGGCUCACCAUCCAGAAGGCUGAGGGUAGCUGAGUGAAUUUCAUUCUAUUCCCAACUAAUUUCAUUGAGUCAGCACAUAAGACUGGUUAAGAGCACAGAUUUAGGAGUCAGACAGACCUGAGACUGUAUCCUGAUUCUGCUGAUUAUUAGCUGUGUGACCAUGGAUAAGGAAUAAACUUCUCUGAGGUUUAGUCUUCUCAUCCAUAAAACAGUAACGAUCAGAAACUUCCUCAAAGUACUGUAAGGAAUAAGUGAGAUGAGUCGGAAGAACUUAACACAAUAUCUUAUCCAGGGCUUUGCUGCUAAGUAUUUUUCUAUUUCCAAAAUAAUCAUCUCAUAACAUAUUUUUUUAGCAACCACUGUGUGACAAUUUCUUUUGACAUGAAUUAUUUCUAAUUCUCACAGGAAUGCUGGGAAAAAAUCAAAACACCCUCAUUUUACAGAUGGAGAAAUUGGCUCAGAGAGGUGAAGUGGCUUCCUGAGAUCACACAGUGAAUAUGUGACCAAGGAGGACCUGAAACCAACCCACCCAACAUCAAAGCCUGUGCGCUUUCCACCAGGCUGAGGUGUCCACCCCUGUGGUCAGUGUGUGUCUCAGUGUGGGACAAAGGAAAAACCAUGCAGCUUUGGAGGUCUCCAAACCUCCCAGUUUAGGAUAAACCCCUCAAUUAUGCUUGAAGUUGGACCAGCUUUUGAAACCUCUACUGGACAUUCUUUUCCCAUCAAGUUCCUUGAAAUGUCUCUUUAAAAUACAUCUAGGAAAAGCCACUCUCAUUAGCCAGAGUCUGACUUUAUUUUCCUAAUAAACAGACCUCCAGUAAGACAAAA
rnacentral:lncRNA from 1 species